rnacentral:rRNA from 1 species
CGGACGGGUGAGUAAUGUCUGGGAAACUGCCCGAUGGAGGGGGACAACUACUGGAAACGGUAGCUAAUACCGCAUAACGUCGCAAGACCAAAGAGGGGGACCUUAGGGCCUCUUGCCAUCGGAUGUGCCCAGAUGGGAUUAGCUAGUAGGUGGGGUAAAGGCUCACCUAGGCGACGAUCCCUAGCUGGUCUGAGAGGAUGACCAGCCACACUGGAACUGAGACACGGUCCAG